rnacentral:rRNA from 1 species
UACGAACUGUGCGAACGUUAUUCGGAAUCACUGGGCGUAAAGAGCUCGUAGGCGGUUUGUUGCGUCGGCUGUGAAACCCCGAGGCUCAACCUCGGGUCUGCAGUCGAUACGAGCAAACUAGAGUGUUGCAGGGGAGACUGGAAUUCCUGGUGUAGCGGUGAAAUGCGCAGAUAUCAGGAGGAACACCGGUGGCGAAGGCGGGUCUCUGGGCAACAACUGACGCUGAGGAGCGAAAGCGUGGGGAGCGAACAGG